AGACCCGAAACCCGGUGAUCUAGCCAUGGGCAGGUUGAAGGUUGGGUAACACUAACUGGAGGACCGAACCGACUAAUGUUGAAAAAUUAGCGGAUGACCUGUGGCUGGGGGUGAAAGGCCAAUCAAACCGGGAGAUAGCUGGUUCUCCCCGAAAGCUAUUUAGGUAGCGCCUCGUGAAUUCAUCUCCGGGGGUAGAGCACUGUUUCGGCUAGGGGGCCAUCCCGGCUUACCAACCCGAUGCAAACUGCGAAUACCGGAGAAUGUUAUCACGGGAGACACACGGCGGGUGCUAACGUCCGUCGUGAAGAGGGAAACAACCCAGACCGCCAGCUAAGGUCCCAAAGUCAUGGUUAAGUGGGAAACGAUGUGGGAAGGCCCAGACAGCCAGGAUGUUGGCUUAGAAGCAGCCAUCAUUUAAAGAAAGCGUAAUAGCUCACUGGUCGAGUCGGCCUGCGCGGAAGAUGUAACGGGGCUAAACCAUGCACCGAAGCUGCGGCAGCGACGCUUAUGCGUUGUUGGGUAGGGGAGCGUUCUGUAAGCCUGUGAAGGUGGCCUGUGAGGGUUGCUGGAGGUAUCAGAAGUGCGAAUGCUGACAUAAGUAACGAUAAAGCGGGUGAAAAGCCCGCUCGCCGGAAGACCAAGGGUUCCUGUCCAACGUUAAUCGGGGCAGGGUGAGUCGACCCCUAAGGCGAGGCCGAAAGGCGUAGUCGAUGGGAAACGGGUUAAUAUUCCCGUACUUGGUGUUACUGCGAAGGGGGGACGGAGAAGGCUAUGUUGGCCGGGCGACGGUUGUCCCGGUUUAAGCGUGUAGGCUGGUUUUCCAGGCAAAUCCGGAAAAUCAAGGCUGAGGCGUGAUGACGAGGCACUACGGUGCUGAAGCAACAAAUGCCCUGCUUCCAGGAAAAGCCUCUAAGCAUCAGGUAACAUCAAAUCGUACCCCAAACCGACACAGGUGGUCAGGUAGAGAAUACCAAGGCGCUUGAGAGAACUCGGGUGAAGGAACUAGGCAAAAUGGUGCCGUAACUUCGGGAGAAGGCACGCUGACACGUAGGUGAAGUGAUUUACUCAUGGAGCUGAAGUCAGUCGAAGAUACCAGCUGGCUGCAACUGUUUAUUAAAAACACAGCACUGUGCAAACACGAAAGUGGACGUAUACGGUGUGACGCCUGCCCGGUGCCGGAAGGUUAAUUGAUGGGGUCAGCGCAAGCGAAGCUCCUGAUCGAAGCCCCGGUAAACGGCGGCCGUAACUAUAACGGUCCUAAGGUAGCGAAAUUCCUUGUCGGGUAAGUUCCGACCUGCACGAAUGGCGUAAUGAUGGCCAGGCUGUCUCCACCCGAGACUCAGUGAAAUUGAACUCGCUGUGAAGAUGCAGUGUACCCGCGGCAAGACGGAAAGACCCCGUGAACCUUUACUAUAGCUUGACACUGAACAUUGAGCCUUGAUGUGUAGGAUAGGUGGGAGGCUUUGAAGUGUGGACGCCAGUCUGCAUGGAGCCGACCUUGAAAUACCACCCUUUAAUGUUUGAUGUUCUAACGUGGACCCGUUA
rnacentral:rRNA from 1 species